AAUUGACGGGGACCCGCACAAGCGGUGGAUGAUGUGGAUUAAUUCGAUGCAACGCGAAGAACCUUACUACCCUUGACAUGUCCGGAACUUGCCAGAGAUGGCUUGGUGCCCGAAAGGGAAUCGGAACACAGGUGCUGCAUGGCUGUCGUCAGCUCGUGUCGUGAGAUGUUGGGUUAAGUCCCGCAACGAGCGCAACCCUUAUCAUUAGUUGCUACGCAAGGGCACUCUAAUGAGACUGCCGGUGACAAACCGGAGGAAGGUGGGGAUGACGUCAAGUCCUCAUGGCCCUUAUGGGUAGGGCUUCACACGUCAUACAAUGGUCGGUACAGAGGGUUGCCAAGCCGCGAGGCGGAGCCAAUCCCACAAAGCCGAUCGUAGUCCGGAUUGUUCUCUGCAACUCGAGAGCAUGAAGUCGGAAUCGCUAGUAAUCGCAGGUCAGCAUACUGCGGUGAAUACGUUCCCGGGCCUU
rnacentral:rRNA from 1 species